rnacentral:rRNA from 1 species
ACGGGGGCAACCCUGGUGGCGAGUGGCGAACGGGUGAGUAAAGCAUCGGAACGUGCCCUGGAGUGGGGGAUAACGUAGCGAAAGUUACGCUAAUACCGCAUAUUCUGUGAGCAGGAAAGCAGGGGAUCGCAAGACCUUGCGCUCUGGGAGCGGCCGAUGUCGGAUUAGCUAGUUAGUGGGGUAAAGGCCUACCAAGGCGACGAUCCGUAGCGGGUCUGAGAGGAUGAUCCGCCACACUGGGACUGAGACACGGCCCAGACUCCUACGGGAGGCAGCAGUGGGGAAUUUUGGACAAUGGGCGAAAGCCUGAUCCAGCCAUGCCGCGUGAGUGAAGAAGGCCUUCGGGUUGUAAAGCUCUUUCGGUGGGGAAGAAAUUGCACGGGUUAAUAGCCUGUGUAGAUGACGGUACCUGGAGAAGAAGCACCGGCUAACUACGUGCCAGCAGCCGCGGUAAUACGUAGGGUGCGAGCGUUAAUCGGAAU